UAAAAGUCGUAACAAGGUUUCUGUAGGUGAACCUGCAGAAGGAUCAUUAGUGAAGAUUUGGGCAGGCCAUACGGACGCCAAAAAGUGUCCCUGGCCGCCUACACCCACUAUACAUCCACAAACCCGUGUGCACUGUCUUGGAGAAAGGCUUCAGAGAAGUUUUUUGUGGCCUCUCUUGGGGUCUUUCUUCGCUACAAACUCGAAUGGUUAGUAUGAACGUGGAACUUGGUUGGACCGUCACUGGCCAACAAACUAUACACAACUUUCGACAACGGAUCUCUUGGUUCUCCCAUCGAUGAAGAACGCAGCGAAACGCGAUAGGUAAUGUGAAUUGCAGAAUUCCGUGAAUCAUCGAAUCUUUGAACGCACCUUGCGCUCUAUGGCAAUCCGUAGAGCAUGCCUGUUUGAGUGCCAUGAAAUCUCCCACCCCAAGCAGUUUUUAAAUGAAACGGCUUGGCGGAUGGGGUCUGGAUGGGUGCCUCUGCCUGCGCUACCUAGCACAGGCUCGCCCGAAAUGCAUGAGCGCCUUGAGACACUUUGCAUCCGCCUCUCUGUUUGGGAGGAGGCGGCCAAGCAGUGUUUUUCUCCUGGCAUGGCAUGAUACGUCAUUUGCUAUGUCGCCUAAAGGAGGAAUGUUUGGUUGUGUCUGCGUGUGCUUCGAACUUGCCUCUGUGGCACAUCCCAAUUUCACUUCUGGUCUCAAAUCAGGUAGGAUCACCCGCUGAACUUAAGCAUAUCAAUA
rnacentral:rRNA from 1 species